rnacentral:rRNA from 1 species
GACGUAGGGCGCGAGCGUUGUCCGGAUUUAUUGGGCGUAAAGAGCUCGUAGGCGGCUUGUCGCGUCGACCGUGAAAACUUGGGGCUCAACCUCAAGCCUGCGGUCGAUACGGGCAGGCUAGAGUUCGGUAGGGGAGACUGGAAUUCCUGGUGUAGCGGUGAAAUGCGUAGAUAUCUGGAGGAACACCGGUGGCGAAGGCGGCAUCCUGGACCAACACUGACGCUGAGUGAGCGAAAGCCAGGGGAGCAAACGGG